rnacentral:tRNA from 1 species
UGCGGAGUGACUGGAGUGGUACCAGGAUGGGUCCAUAACCCAUAAGACGCAGGUUCGAAUCCUGCCUCCGCGACCA